CCUACGGGAGGCUGCAGUAGGGAAUCUUCCACAAUGGGCGAAAGCCUGAUGGAGCAACGCCGCGUGUGUGAUGAAGGCUUUCGGGUCGUAAAGCACUGUUGUAUGGGAAGAACAGCUAGAAUAGGAAAUGAUUUUAGUUUGACGGUACCAUACCAGAAAGGGACGGCUAAAUACGUGCCAGCAGCCGCGGUAAUACGUAUGUCCCGAGCGUUAUCCGGAUUUAUUGGGCGUAAAGCGAGCGCAGACGGUUUAUUAAGUCUGAUGGGAAAUCCCGGAGCACAACUCCGAAAUGGCAUUGGAAGCUGGUUAACGUGAGUGCAGAAGAGGUGAUUGGAACUCCGUGUGUAGCGGUGGAAUGCGUAGAUAUAUGGAAGAACACCAGUGGCGAAGGCGGCUUACUGGACUGAAACUGACGUUGAGCCUCGAAAGUGUGGGUAGCAAACAGGAUUAGAUACCCAUGUAGUC
rnacentral:rRNA from 1 species